GAUAGGGAAUCCUUUCAGCUAGCUGUCUCAAUGGAUCUGAGGAUAUGAUCACAGCGUGAAGCAAGAACACUGCUGACAUAUUGUCAGUUUGAAAUGGACUAAGAUUGUUUGUGAAGGCUGCAGCCCCUUGGAAUAAAAGUAGCCUGGUCAAUACUCGGUGACGGCUGAUCCUGCUCUCUAUACCAAGAUGGGGAACAGAUUAUCAGAUCAUCACUCCCUCUUCCCCUGCCUGCCGUCCUUCCAGGCUCUUCACAUUGUCAUUCUAGGACUGGACUGUGCAGGCAAGACCACUGUACUGUACCGCCUGCGCUUCAAUGAGUUUGUGAACACCGUCCCAACUAAGGGUUUUAACACGGAGAAGAUCCAAGUGUCACUUGGCGGUAGCCAACGGACAGCGUCCUUCCACUUCUGGGAUGUAGGUGGUCAGGAGAAACUGCGCCCCCUGUGGCGCUCUUACACACGUUGUGCUGAUGGCAUCGUGUUUGUGGUGGACUCGGUGGAUGCCGAGCGCAUUGAGGAGGCCAAGACAGAGCUGCACAAGAUCACACGGCUGGCAGAGAACCAAGGUGUGCCAGUGCUGGUGGUGGCUAACAAACAGGACCUGAGGAACUCACUCAGCCUGGCUGAGAUGGAAAGCAUGUUGGCUCUGGGCGAGCUCAGCACCGCCACACCCUGGCACCUUCAGGCUGCUUGUGCUAUCAUCGGUGAGGGACUGCAGGAAGGUGUGGAGAAGCUGCACGCCAUGAUCAUGAAGAGGAGAAAGAUGCUGCGUCAACAGAAGAAGAAGAGAUGAUGUGCUAAUGGGGAACUAUGAAAUGUGUGCUGGAUCUAAAGCUACAUAAGAACUACUGUGAGCUGCGUACAAUCUGCUGGUCCACUGUAACAAGUCAUUCAGCCGCCGCCCUUUGAAGUCUGACGGGCUGAGUUUGAUCCUUCUAGUGGAACUGUUCAGGUCGGCCAGAGUUUGGCUGCCACAGAGGACAGUGGGGUUGAUUUUGCCCGUGGACUUUGUAUGCCAGCAAUCCUGUCAACAACACGUGAUUCUAAAGGAAGUCCAGUAUUAUGCUAUACAGCAGUAGGCUAUGAAGUUUACACAGAACUCUUUAAUGUGGACAGUGAACUCUGACGUGUCUAUUUUACGUUAUUUGUUAAACUAUGUGCUGCUUAUCUGUUCAAAAACAAUCAAUCUUUAUAUUUUUAUUGUACCAAAGCUUAUGUUGAGAGUGCAGACAGUUACUGUUUGUAACAGUGCUGUAAGUUGUGUAUGUCAGUAUAGUGAGUAUUUUCUAUCCAUGAUCCAGAAGUUUACAUGAAGAACAAUGAUUCACUGAGAACAGGAUGGCCCUAAAAAAAUGUAAACACUGUUCAAAAUGGCUGUUAAUGAUGGAAACAAUGACUGUGUUGUUUGGUAGUGUACCUGCCUUACUGUGGCCAGAUGUUGAGAUGACAAGCCAAGAUAUUUUGCGCACAGAAACACCGAUAGCAGAAAAUUAGGUGUUGGUGUCAAUUCUUCCGAAUGAAAGAGGGUGAAGGCUUCUUUCUAGAGCAUGAAGUCAAUAGCAGAACCGGCACUGACAGUAUCCUGAAAAGACCAGAAUGCAGUGCAGACACAUACUGUGUUUUGAGUACAGAGCAUGGCUGGUUGUUCCUCCAUGCCAGGUUGGGACCUUUGUCGCAGUAAUUAAUGCAUUACCUCGACUACACGUGUACAGAUCGUACAACAGUUAAUGAUUUAAAGUAACACUAAAAUGAAAUAAAAUUUAAGAUUAUGAAUUAGACCAAUAAAUCUGCCCGGCCAAUUAUAUCUCGUCCCAUAUUAGCUAACUGCAGAUAUAUCAGUGUCAAUGUAUUUGUGUUUUUGCUGUUUGUUAAGUAAUGAGCAAUGUCAGUACAGAUAUGCCAAAGAUAUGAUUCAGGUAAUUUAGAGAAAACAUAAAAUGUUUCUUAAUGUUAAAAAGUGACUAUCAUAUAUCGAGUCGUUACUGGAUUUUUUAAACUCACAAAAUACCAAUAUCAUUAUCACCCUCAAAAAUCCAGUAUGAUCCAGGAUCCACAUUUUGAUCACCCACAAUACAUUUUGUACUUGUAAUGUUAGCUUUGCAAGCUAACGUUGGUUUGCUGGCCCUAAUAGCGAGCUGACAUUCCUUAGCUAACAGUGAUUAGCUCACUAGCUAACACUGGCGUAACUUGCCCCUGUUGUUGACAAUGAUUUGGCUCUCAUGCUUGGUAAACACUGUAGCUAUUGUUCUAUUGUCCAUUUAUUCCUGUGAAGCUAAUUUAAUGUCAUUUUAAUUGUCAACCACUGAUUCAGUUGAACAUUUUUUUUCUUCAGCUGUAUUAUCAGGUUAAGUUAUUUUCCAGUGAUUUUGACUUGUGAACAUGAAGUGUCAUGUCAUGUAAUGCAUUAUUAACUAUGAUAAAAGGCUCCGUAGUUGGCUGCUUAGCAUAAUCACAUAGGAGCAAAUGGAGGGAAAGUGGAUACACCAAAAUAGUAAAUCACAGUUAAUCACAAAGCUGAUGAUUUUAACAGUCCGAGAGCUGUCAGUCGUCUCUGCAGAAGGUGAGACUGAAGCUGUGACUUCAUCACCGACACAGCUCCUGGUAGAUGUGUCUUGUGUCCUGUUGAUUGACAGGCCCAGUUGGCUGCCUGACAAGCGUCCAUCCUCAGACAGGCUGGUGUCGGAGCCAGCCUCACCUAUAUCUGACGACACAGUCACAUGUUCAGCAUGUUUUGUAUGAGCAUAUUUAUGAUUUAUGUGUUUGAGCCACUUUGUUCACUUGGAAUAAAGCAACAAAAGGAGAGUGACAUUUUGUGAACCACUGAUUCAGCUCAACAAAUGUUUAGUUUGUUUCUCUUAUCAGUGUAGCUGUUGAUCAGUUCAGAGCACAGUCCACCGGGCUGCAGUUUGUUCUCCACUCGUUGGUUUAUGUGUAACUGACAAACUGUUCGCAGCAAAAGGUGAUAAAAGGCUGAGUCAGGGCUGCGUUCUAAGGAAAAAGAGGCCCUUCCUGGUUAAAUGGAACAUACAGACACCAGUAACCUUUGCAGCUACUGGAGCUGAUGUGUGCAGUCGUGGUCUUCUAGACUUUGUACCAGUUUAACCUCUCAGUGGGGUUUCUAGUGGGUCUGGAGGCUCUGUUAUGUGGCACACACACUGCCUCCUGGUCAACUAGCUGGGGAUAAUGGAGAUGGAAUUGGCACAUAUUGUAAUAGUGUCAGAGAUAAUGAAAUGUGUGGGCAGACUGGCUUCCCAGCAUGCUCAACGGAGUCCAGCAACCUCAAAAAGAAUUUCAAAUGGGGAGUUAUUUAUGAUACAUUUUAAUAAGCUUGUGACUGUUGGAGCUGUGCAUCAAUUGGCUGGAGGAUGAUCGAUAUGUUUUAGCACCGUGACAGAGGGGGCUUCAGGGGUCAACUGUUUCCAAAUAUCCACAUCAGCCUGACUUCCUUGAAAUGCACCCAGUCCUGGCCGGGACUUCUCUCGUCACAACGUCUCCAGGUUAGACAGGUAUAUAUUUGAAUGUAACCAUGGAUCUUUUUUGUAGAUCAAUGGAUUGAGCUAAUCAGUAAUUACAAUACUUCUCUCUCAGUGUAGGGGCCAGAGUAAGAUGGCUUUCCACUUUUGUCUUAUGUCCAGGGUUCAAUGAAGACCUAAAAAACCAUGAUAGAAAUGUUCUAUUAUGUUGAAAACCUCAUAGUAAAAGCUUCACACAAUAAUUACAUUAUGCUGAGAAGCUAGGGAUGAAAUACACGGAGAUUUCAGAUUGUGCAGACUUAAUAAUAUAAUAACCACUCCAAUUCAUGUCUUUACUUGUUGAUUCAGGCAUUUGUACAGGUGUGACAAUGGAUGUAUUAAAAGGGGAAGGGGCCCCACUGAGGCUGCAUAUGUACAGGGCCAACAGUUUUGUGCUACGUCAUGCACAUGUACAUCAGAUUGUUUUGAGUAUAAGCACAAGAGCCACAUAUACAAGUUUUACAUGCUGCCAAAAAUAAGGAUAAUAAGUCAGUGUUGUAGGCAUCAAGACAAGCAGUGUCAAAGUAGAUAUUUGAUUAAUUCCCAUAGAGAAAUUGGGCCUUGUGCCAUUCAAAUGUUUCCAAUUCAGCAGGGACGAUUGCAGGAAGGAACAUAUAACACAAAUUCAGCAAUGCAAAUGAUAAAAAGCAUCAAAACUGACAGGUAUCUACAAAAAAGCAGCUGACGGCAGCUUUAAGCCAAAACUUUCAGUGCUGGUAUCAGCCUUUAGAAACCCAUAGAGGCUGGACAACCCAUGUCCCAGGUCCUGCCAGUCCUCUGUAUGCUGUCUGAGCUCCAGUAUUAGAGCACAUCAUUAAAUAUUUCAAUAAAGGAAUGUGGAGCAGAUCUGGACUCUGAAACUUUUCAUUUUUACAGCAGCUUUUUACUUCCCCUGCUCCGAACUGUCAGACGCAAUAUAGCCUCAAUAUUCGCUCCAAAGAUAGAAAGUUAGAAACAACAGGAUCUUGCAGUUUUCCUCUCACUAACAUGUAUUCCAGUAUGCUUGUGUAUUUCAGUCACAUCCAGUUGUCCAGUCUUUGAUCCCCCACUUUCUUACAGCUGAGGAAAUGGACUUUGAAAGCACAACCAUCCAUCUGAAGAGUGUGUAUUCAGCAGGAGGGGUGUUGUGGGGUUUGUUCAAGCUGAUUGAUGACUGUGUGAACUGCUAAUCUGAUCCCUGUUCAGUGUGAGCUGUGAAGGGUGUAAACAUUUCGGUCAUCAGAGUGGAGGGCAGGAUAUGGUGAUAAGGGAAGAGGAACCACUCCCUGCCUGCCGCGGUUUCCUGAGAAGAGCCUGGCUGUCUGCCACUGCAACCCCACCCCCAACACCCGACCCUUAAACACCGAGUGGAGAGAUGGUGGGACACUACUGCCAUUGGAAGGAAGGCGACGAGGUGGAACAGCCCAGCGUCGCCGCCGUGAAGCACCAGACUCAAGCAAGCUGCAAUACACAAACACUCAAUUGGUCCAUUUAGAUUGGUCCUGCACCGGCUGUAAAGUGUUCUCCUGUGCCAUGCUUGCUUGAGGACGGUGCCACAAGAUUCGCUCAUGGCCACUUUCUGCAAAUAGUGCCCAGCUUAAUACUGAUGUUAGUUCAUGCACAGUAUGUACAGUAUGUUACAUGAGAGUUACUUGUUAGUUUGUUAAAAUAUAUUCUUAUAACAGAUAUUCUUGGUGAUAGAUUAAGGAUUUUUCAAUGAGGGAGAAGGAGUAGAUGCCAUUUUAAGAAUUUUAACAAGGUAAUUGAACUUUUGUGGGAAAAUUAUUACAAAUUACUCAAAGCAGAGUAUUUUUUAUAUAUCUUAAAACAUGCAACAUGGAACUUUAAUGAAUAACACUGUGCACUUGUUUGGUAGUAAUAUAACAUGAUGAUGAUUAUGAUGAUUAUUAUUAAUUAUUAUUGAAUAAUUUGUGUUCACUCUACAUAUAAAAAGCAAAUUAUUACAAGAAGAGUUUCAGUGUUAUGCUGAACACAAAAUAAAAUUCUGUGUUACAUUAAGUAAGUGUAUACUAAAUUUAACAAAUAAACUAAUACUGCAUUGGUAAAGGGAAGGGCUCUUGUUUUUAUAAAUAAAUAAAUAAAAUAUGUGUAGUUUUGUAUUACUAAAAUAUUUCCUAGUUCUGGCAGUAUACAGGAUCAGUCAUAGGCAGAUAUUGGGGUAGCUCUGGCACACCCAGACUUGGACCAGUAUAUGCCAGGUCUGCCAUUUUUGUUGGGGUGAUUGCGGCCCUAUGCCAGUUCAGUUUCAGCAGCUGGACCUGGACCAGUAUAGGCCAGGUCUGCCAUUUAGGUUGGGGUGAUUGCUGCCCUAUGCCAUUUGCCCCGAGGAGGAGACAACCCCUUCCUUCAUUCCCAAUCAUUUGAGUAUACAUCAGUGUGGUAAAGCCCCACAUCUUACUACUUGACUCUUAAACAAACCUAUCUGACUGAAGCUAGCUGAACUGACCAAAGGAACAAAGUUGAACUUGAAUUAACAGACCAAAAGAACCCUGAACUCUAACACACAGACAUUUUCUUUCAUUGUUGUGAAAUGUGUUAAGUAUAACCAUUUUCACGUGAUUUAUGUUAAUUUUUACUGUGAAGCACUGUUAAACAGUUAUUGUUGCACUGAAUGCAUUCCCGGUUGGUGGCAUUAGAAUGCCGGUUUAGAGAGGAAACUUUGGGGAAGAAGUGGACAACCAGAGUAGCUGUUGAUGGAGUGGACUGUAGCUGUCUGCUGGAUAGCCAUGGCCUCCUACCAAGAUAACUUAUCUGAGCACCCCAUUAAGCCCAUUUCUGACCUUCUUGAAGUCGAGGGAGUAAAUGGCCAGACUGUCUCAUAUCUGGGAUAUGUGGAGACCAACAUCAAGUUCCUCAAAGACGUCCUUGAAACCGAACCUGAACUGUCCACCUUAACUUAACUAUCCACUAACUGUGCCUGAUCUUCGUUCAAAUAGUGACAUUUCACUGAUCAUUGACACUAACACCCCUUGGGUAGCAUGGUGAGAGGCCCUUGUCUCGUUGGAAAUCGCUUCCCUAUGGCUAUCAGCAGGUCCUGAAAAAACUGGAGAUCAGAAAAAAAGAAACACAUUGUGGAAAAAUAGGCCUGAUGAAACUCAAAGGACGAACUCAGGAAAUUCUUCCAGCUAACCAGAAGGUGCUGCUUGAGGGUUUUGUGUGUGUCAACCAAGCAAAGUCUGAACAGUGGGUGCUACUUGAACAACCAACUAGCUUAUCUCUGCUAGGUGGCGUCAUUGUAGAUUGCUGCCUCACUCUGCCAAAGCAUGGUCCCUACAAAGUUCCUGUGCUACUCAGAAAUGAGAUGAGUCACGACAUUACUGCCGAGCUAGUUGCUCCUGAUUGUGUCAUUCAAAAUCCUAUGCCAGAAGAGAAAAGUAACCAAAAAAUCUCUGCUAACUGUUCCGCCCAGCAGCAGACUACAGACACAAAGCCUGCUUUGAGUUUCGACUUUGAAGAGUGGAAACAAAGAAUCACUCAAAAAUUGAACACUUUCUUCAAUGUCUUCUCACACCAUGACCUUGAUUUUGGUCCUGCGACCAAGACUCAACAUCAUAUAAAUCUUAAAGAUGAAACUCCAUUUAAACAGAGAUCUCUGCCCAUUCAGCCCCAGGAUUUUGAAGCAGUCGAAAAGCAUCUUCAAGCUCUUCUAGAUGCAGGCAUCAUCAGUGAAUCCAAGUCCCCGUUUUCAUCACCAAUUGUAAUAAUGCCGAAAAAGAAUGUAGAUGUGAGAUUAUGUGUGGAUUAUCGGAAAUUAAAUCAGCAGACCAUCCACCUAUGCACUGCCCAAUCUGGAGGAGUCCUUUUCAGCUCUUGCUGGAUCACAAUGGUUCUCUGUGAUGGACCUCAAGUCGGAGUAUUAUCAAAUCAAGAUGAAUGAUGCAGACAAACCAAAGACAGCCUUUGUGUGCCCCUUUGGGUUCUACCAGUUCAGUCGUAUGCCCCAGGAAAUCUCAAAUGCCCCAAGCACUUUUCAAAAGCUCAUGGAAAAGUGCAUGAAAGACAUCAAUUUGAAAGAGGUUCCUGUCUUCCUGGACAAUUUGAUCGUGUUUUCCAGCACACUUGAACGCCUGAGAGAAUACAGACUCAAGCUCUCACCGGAUUUUUUUUUUUUUCCAACCUCACACAUUGUGUCCCGGGAUGGAGUAAAAACUGAUCCUGAGAAAGUCAAAACUCCAGUCAUUCCUUGAAGGAAUAAUUCAGAGAGUCACCUCUUCACCUGUGCUUGGCUAUGCUGAUCCAAAGUUGCCAUACUUCCUUCAUAUAAACGCCAGCACCACUGGAUUCGGAGCCUCACUGUAUCAGGAACAGGAGGGAAACACACGCGUGAUUGCCUGUGCAAGUCGGAGUUUCUCCCACAGUGAAUCCAGAUACCCAGCUCAUAAACUGGAAUUCUUGGCUCUGAAAUGGGCCCUAACUGACAAAUUUAUAUUAUUAUCUGUAUGGCAACACCUUUACCAUUGUCACAGAUAACAAUACUUUAACUUACCUUCUUACCACAGCAAAGCUUGAUGCCGCUAGCUGGCAGCACUGUCUACAUACACCUUUGACAUUAAAUACAGAGCCAGCAAACAGAAUCUUGAUGGCGAUGGUUUAUCAAGAAGGCGUCACAGAGUGCAGAAGAAAGACAUGGUUUUCUAAGAAGAAUGCCAGCGCAUUGAAAAAUUCAGAUCUCAUCUCAUGUCAUCUGUAAAGGAUGUUGAGCCUCAACUCCUCCUUGCAGACAGCUACUGCAACCUGUCAGAGGCAUAUGGCUCUAAUGUAAGAUGAUUUGUUUUUUGGGGGCUGGUACAGUCUCUCACCAUGUCCCAAGCUGCCAUUCCUGCUGUCUUUGAGGAGGAAGAUCUCAACAAUGGCUUUCUGACCUCAUGCAGAUGCAAAGAGAUGAUCCUGUGAUUGGCAGGAAACAACUUACCUGCUGAUUUCAAAACGGACUCCCCUGAUCUCCACUUGGUUUUAAAGGAACUGAAAUGUCUUGAGAUUCAAGAUGAUCUUCUCUACUAAAAAUGCCUAUCUGGAACAGAGACUGUGAUGCAGUUAAUUCUCCCUGAGGUCCUCAGAUCCACUGUGCUUCAAAACCUUCAAGAUGAUAUGGGGCAUCUAGGGAUUGAGCACACACGAGCUUGUGAGCUUCUAUUGGCCUAAGAUGGCUGCAGAUAUUGAAAGGAAAGUGAAGCCCUGUGAGAGGUGUUGCUGUAGGAAAGCCCCGCCUGAUAAGGCAGCCCCACUGGUAAACACCAGACUACCAGGCCCAUGGAGUUAUGCUGUCUACAUGGAAAAGAAAAUGAAACAGAAUCACACUUACUGGAUUUGGAACAUGGAUGGGGAGGGGGGAGGAUAUAGCCAAGUAGAGAAUUGGUCUGUAAGAUUAUUUUAUUUCCAGUCUUAUUUUCUGUUUGCUAAAACAAUGUGUCAGUCAAACAAAGUUUGCUCAGACUUGGUUCUUAUUGGCUAUAUCAGGCAAUGCAGAUUUAUGAUUAGAGAGGGGAAAUAAGUCCCACCCCCCCAGGUAGAAAUUCGGCAGCACAGCUAGAGUGACAACAUGAGCAGAUGCGUGUUUCUCAAGUGGGUGGGUUAUACUGUCGUAAAACGUGAUACACAAAUGAUCAAAUACUUCAAAUUAAUAUUUAUAUUAAAUUAAAUGUAUGCGACAUUCACUGCCACUAAAUGUCGCACUAGAGCAAAAGCAUCUCAGACCAAAACAAAUGGGCACUAUGGCCCACCAAACUCCAUUGAGAAAAACAGUAAUUUUACUCAGGCCAUUACUCCGCUAUAUCUUUGCAUAGCAAAUAGUUGUUUGCUACUAUAUUAAUGUUCAAAAUCUCAUAUAGAGAACUCUUCAUUUAUUGAACCAAGUGAGUCUUAGCAACAUUUUAAAAGCAAUUUGGUAACAACAGGACAUUAUGUUUCAUUAUGUUCCUGCAGUGGAAAAGGGCCAUUUGUGUCAUUAGCAAGAUGUAGGUUGUUCAUAAAGUACUGUUGCAUACAACAAGCACUUAUAAUGUAUGCAUCUGUAAAUGUGGAUAGGUUAUUAGUGUGCCAUUGUGACUUUCACAGCAGCUAUUGUCUAAGCCAACCAGAUCAAAAAUAAUGUAUAAUGUUUAUCAGGCACAAAUCCGUAUUAUAUAGAAGUAAUGUAAUGUAAUAUGUCAUUUUUUAUUUACCUCAUACCUAUUGCUCCAUUUUAUAGCUCCUAAUUUUACUUUUAUUUAUUUUCCUGGUAGGAAUGAGCUUCCACAGCUCUGUUAUAAGAUACCUAGGCAUGUACUGUGUCUCAUAGAACCUGUUGAUGAAGAUUAAGUCAAACUGGGUGGUUGUUAUGAGCAGUAUAAGCAUUUUGUGUGUAGCAACAGAUUUUUAUUGUAAUAGUGUAUGGUAACUAAUUAUCCGCUUGUGUCUCAACUGAGCUCAGUUUGAAUGGAAUCACAGUUGGCCUCUGAUCCUGAUUUUCUUUUCCUGCUGGCCCAGUGUAAGCUUCUCUGCAGCUCAGUAAAGUUAACAAACCCUCCUUAGAUAAAACAGAAGAGCACAUGUCCUGCUCUGACUCUGUAGCUUAAAUGACUAUAGGCCCGUUGCCUUAACAUCUGUUGUAAUGAAAGUGUUUGAGCGUAUAGUAUGUAAACAUCUGUCAAUAGAUUGGCGGAUGAUUCUGUAUCUCUGUCUCCACUCCAUCUUGGGGCAUCUUGAGCCGCCUGCCACCUACGCUCGGGAACUGUUCAUGGACUAUAUAGCUCAGCUUUUAUUACAAUCAUCCCCACAAGGCUUUAUAACAAACCUUUACAACUAGGUUUCCAUUAGUCUCUAUGUCUGGGUCUUGGACUUCUUAUUGGGCAGAACACAGGUUGUCAAAAUCAACAAAAGAUUUUCAAACUCACUGACCAUCAGCACAGGCGCCCCUCAGGGGUGUGUCCUAUCACCACUGCUCAACUUGUCAUAAACCAAUGACUCUGUUUCACACUGACACUGUAAAGAUGACUAAGUUUUCUGAUGAUACAACUCGGCUUACAGAGACAGCAUACAUAAAAGAGGUCUCCUCUCUGGUCGACUGGUGCAGCAAUAACAAUCUGGAACUGAACAUCAACAAAACUGAAGAACAUGUGGUGGACUUCCAUAAAAACCAGGGAGAGCUACUACUGCUGGUUAUCAACAAUCAGGUGGAUUAUUUCAAAUUCCCCGGUACUACUAUCUCCUCCUCCCUGAAAUGGGAAGACUUCACCAUCAUCUCACCAAAGACUAUUCUUUUUAAGAUAGCUAAGGAAAUAUGGAGUGUCAAAGGUUGCAACGUUACAGAUCUACAGACAGGUAAUACAAAGUGUGCUCACCUUCUCAAUAACUGUAUGAUAUUGCAAUACAGUCCACGAGGAAAAACUGACAAAGUCGUUGCACUAUUAUAUUUAUUGUAUUAUGUAUUGUAUUGUUACUGUAUUUGUUGUACUGUAAUUGUGGCAGUGUUUUUUUGUGGUCAUUCCUUGUGUGUACUACGUGAUAAUAUGUGAUUAUGUUUUAUAUGUUAUGUUUUGUUGUUGUUGAGCACACCGAAACAAAUUCCAAUCAACUGCGGUUGAUAUGGCAAUAAAAUAUGAAUCUUG